GGACGCAUCACUGGUGUUCGGGUUGUCAUGCCAAUGGCACUGCCCGGUAGCUAAAUGCGGAAGAGAUAAGUGCUGAAAGCAUCUAAGCACGAAACUUGCCCCGAGAUGAGUUCUCCCUGAGACUUUAAGUCUCCUGAAGGAACGUUAAAGACGAUGACGUUGAUAGGCCGGGUGUGUAAGCGCAGCGAUGCGUUGAGCUAACCGGUACUAAUGAACCGUGAGGCUUAACCUUACAACGCCGAAG
rnacentral:rRNA from 1 species